rnacentral:rRNA from 1 species
GGCGCAAGCCCGUGGCGAACAGCUCAGUAACACGUGGCCAAGCUACCCUCUGGACCGGAAUAACCUCGGGAAACUGAGGCUAAUACCGGAUACCGCUUCCAUCCUGGAACUGGAGGAAGCCGGAAACGCUCCGGCGCCAGAGGAUGCGGCUGCGGCCGAUUAGGUUGACGGUGGGGUAACGGCCCACCGUGCCGAUAAUCGGUACGGGUGGUGAGAGCCAGAGCCCGGAGACGGUAUCUGAGACAAGAUACCGGGCCCUACGGGGCGCAGCAGGCGCGAAACCUUUACAAUGUGCGCAAGCACGAUAAGGGGAUCCCAAGUGCGAGGGCAUAUCGUCCUCGCUUUUCUGGACCGUAAGGUGGUCCAGGAACAAGUGCUGGGCAAGACCGGUGCCAGCCGCCGCGGUAAUACCGGCAGCACGAGUGAUGGCCAAUAUUAUUGGGCCUAAAGCGUCCGUAGCCGGCCGGAUAAGUCCGUCGGGAAAUCUACCCGCUUAACGGGUGGGCGUCCGGCGGAAACUGUUCGGCUUGGGGCCGGAAGGCCAGAGGGGUACGUCCGGGGUAGGAGUGAAAUCCUGUAAUCCCGGGCGGACCGCCGGUGGCGAAAGCGCCUCUGGAGGACGGACCCGACGGUGAGGGACGAAAGCUAGGGUCUCGAAC